AGGAUAGUGGCGAUUCAUCUCGAAAUUGACUCCCACGUCAAAAGACGCAGGUGGUAUAGAUCCCAGAAACAGUCGGAAUCUGCUCAGCCAAAACAAAAGCGCAUUGUCCUGAACAACAAAGUCAGCUUCGUUCCCGACGAGGUUCAUAUCGACUUCAGCCAACUGGAAUUGGGAGAAACUCUCGGACAAGGUGCAUUUGGGCGUGUACUGAAAGCUGUUCUACACGAUACGUCCAGGGAAGAUCAAAUUGUGGCAGUGAAG